AUCAUGUAAUAGGUAUCUGGCACACCAAACGACAUGUGCCCUGAGCUCCUUGCCGGCAUACCCUAUGGCUAUAAAUCUGAUAUAUGGUCGCUUGGAUACUGUAUGUUUGACAUUGCUGCAUAUCAACCCCCGUUUAAAGCUUCUGACAAAACAGGACUUAUCAACAAAAUAAACCGGGGUUUGUUCUCACCAUUUCCGAUUAUAUACUCCACCUUGUAAG